UUCCUCAGUCAGCGCACAUUCUAAUAAAAUUAAGACUAGCUAUAGCUUCAUCUCAUUUUCUCAAGUAAUUAAUCCAUAAUUUGCUAAUGGCUUUCUUCUUCAGGCGCAUAGUGCCCAAAACCAUGGAAAUAUUUCCAAGCUCCCAGGCUUGUCUGCUUAAGACUAUUACCAUAAGAUGCAUAAACACAACUGCAAGGAAGCCGCCAAGGCCGAUAGUAGAAACUAAACCACCACAACACAACAUAGUUCUUGAUCAAAUCAAAGACAAGAAAGAGAUUUUGAUGACUGAGGAGAAGGGUAACAAAAUGCUCCAAGACAAUAAUUCCAUGGUCAAGACAAACUAAGAACAUUGUUAAAAAUAAUAAGUCAUUUGUACUUGCCUGAUUUCAGACAAGAUGGUAACUAAUAGAUUCAAUAUCAUUGAGCUUCUUUCUCCCAUAAUUCAUGAUGAGAACUAGAAACACUCCAUGAUUAUGAAAAUCUACUUCUUCUUUUUUUA